rnacentral:rRNA from 1 species
GGGUGGGAGUGAGCAUCCCGGUCGGGACCCGAAAGAUGGUGAACUAUGCCUAAGCGGGGGGAAGCCAGAGGAAAUUUUGGUGGAGGCCCGCAGCGAUACUGACGUGCAAAUCGUUGUUCUGACUGGGGUAUAGGGGCGAAAGAUUAAUCGAACCUUUAGUAGCUGGUUCCUUCCGAAGUUUCCCUCGGGAUAGCUGGAGCUCGAGCACGAGUUCUAUCAGGUAAAGCCAAUGAUUAGAGGCAUCGGGGGCGCAACGCCCUCGACCUAUUCUCAAACUUUAAAUAGGUAGGAUGGCGUGGUUGCUUUGUUGAACCGCGCCACGGAAUCGAGAGCUCCAAGUGGGCCAUUUUUGGUAAGCAGAACUGGCGAUGCGGGAUGAACCGGAAGCCGGGUUACGGUGCCCAACUGCGCGCUAACCUAGAACCCACAAAGGGUGUUGGUCGAUUAAGACAGC